rnacentral:lncRNA from 10 species
CCAAGACAUGCCUGCUUCCCGUUCACCUUCCACUGUGAUUGUGAGUUUCCUGAGGCCUCCCCAGCCGUACUUCCUGGACAGCCUGCAGAACCGGGUGUGAGCCACCGUGCCAGGCCCUGAUAAUAGUUAUGAAAUACUGGAAAAACAGUUUUAAAAUUCUCUGUGCUGUUUACACUUUAACAAUGACAUGCUUUUAUGUUUAAUCUACAUCAUUAAUACUUUUCUCCAUCCCUUCCUUAAAUCUAGACAACAAACCAAACAAUAGGGCAAGCUCUGGUUUGUAGUGUCUGCUGAUUCCUGUGGUGUGAAUACUCCCACCAUGGCCAAUAUCAAGCUGCCAACAUGGUGUCACUAUAUGCAGACUUGGGAAGAGAUGCCUGCUAGCACAUCAUGGUACAGAAUCUCCACUCUGCGGAUAUAAUAGGUGCAAACCCCAAGAGCAGAGCAGAGCAAACAGCAAAAUAAUUAAGGAG